UAGUCAUAUGCUUGUCUCAAAGAUUAAGCCAUGCAUGUCUAAGCACAAGCCGAUUAAUGGUGGAGCCGCGAAUGGCUCAUUACAACAGCCAUAGUUUCUUAGAUCUUACUUUUCUACUUGGAUAACUGUGGUAAUUCUAGAGCUAAUACACGCAAACAAGCUCAGACCUUACGGAAUGAGCGCAUUUAUUAGAACAAAAACCAAUCGGGCUUCGGUCCGUCAUUUGGUGAAUCUGAAUAACUUUGCUGAUCGCACGGUCUUCGUACCGGCGACAUAUCUUUCAAAUGUCUGCCUUAUCAACUUUCGAUGGUAGUUUACGCGCCUACCAUGGUUGUAACGGGUAACGGAGAAUAAGGGUUCGACUCCGGAGAGGGAGCCUGAGAAACGGCUACCACAUCCAAGGAAGGCAGCAGGCACGCAAAUUACCCACUCCCGGCACGGGGAGGUAGUGACGAAAAAUAACGAGACGGCUCGCUAUGCGGUCCGUCAUCGGAAUGGGUACAAUUUAAAUCCUUUAACGAGGAUCUAUU
rnacentral:rRNA from 1 species